GCCGUGGGGUGCUCGGGUGGGAUGCAGGAGCCCUUCCCUGCGUCCUCCGGUGGCACGGCUGGGGCCUGAUGGCCGUGAGGCCCAGAGGCCCCGAUGCUCGGAUUCCCUUGUGAUGCGUCGGGCUGCCUCCCGCUGGCUCUUGGGUGGGCCACGUUCCACCCUGGGGACAUGCCUGCUCUGCUCUCUGCGGCGUCCUUGGGAAGCUCAGUGCUCCACUGCCAGGUCCGGGCUGGUGGCCUGGGUGCACGCUGCGGGGACCGGGUGCCGGGGAGCAGCUCCCAACUGCCGCGGGCUGGCCAAGCUGCGAGCCAGCGGGCCCCAAGGACCUGCGCCCUCCCUGCACUGCCUCUGCCCACCCUGUGCUUUAGCAUUGCCACGGAGACCUGGGCGCAGCCCCCUGCAUCCGGCCUCCUCGUCGUCUCCCUGCCUGGUGCAUCCUCGGGGCUCGAGCUAGCGCGAUCCCACGCACACGAGGACCUGUGAGCCCCGAGGACCCGUGAGCCCUGACUGUUGACACUGCCCGGGGUGGUGCCUUCUUGUCUAGGGUCGUGGCUCCCGUUUGUGCUGAUCUUCCUUCCCGUGUCCUCAGCCUCCAGACCUGGUUCAGAAGGGCCUGGUGAUGGCGUUCGGGGCUCCGGUUCCAUGGUGAGCCUGUGGGCGGGUCAUUUGCAGACACAGCGGGGGACUUGCUGUGUCCACCUGCGGGCAGCAGGCUGACCCCGACUUGCACCACCACGAAGGUUCCUGGGAGCAGCUCCUUACUCUUCAUGUUCUGUCCUGUGAGGAGUUAGUGGAACCAGAGUGACAGGAGCCAAGCUGUCACUGCAGGUGAAGCCUGACCUUCGGCCUGAGUCACUCGCCUCGCAGCUGCCGUCGGCUCUGGUGCCGUGGGAGGAAGGGGGUGCGUGUUCGUCCGGCUGUUGGGGUGCCAAGCAGCAUUGGACCCUCCACCGAGCAGAGUAGCUGUGGCGCUCAGGGCAGCAGAGGUUCGCGUUGGUGCCUCACAUCCGCCCCCCGGGAGAGGCGCCGAGGCCCUGGGCCUUCCACGGCCCAUCCCACCCACAUGGCAGCUUCGUGCCGGCAGCAGGUCACGCACGGUCCCUGGCCUGAGGUCCCCGGUGCGGGCACUGUGGGACACUCGCUCCUGGCGACUCUAAAAAGGUGCUGCAAAAACAAGGUGUGUUUUGAGAGCGGUUAGCACGUAGGACAGAGGCCCCGGUGAAGACGGCCGCGUUGGCCCUAGCCCUGACCCGCGCCGCGGGCGCGUCCACUCCCGGCUCCGGCACAGCGGACAGGGUGUAAAUGCGGGUCCCGGGGGCUCACUCACAAGCCGGCACGGACGGAAAUAGUGUCUUACGGGAAAUGAGGCCUGGAGGAGGGCGUCUUGGGAGGGGGUGGGUUGGUUUGCACUUCCAGCUCUUGGAACUUGUUAGAGACGCCGCAUCAGCCAAAUCGCUGUUUUUUCCUGAAUCUCAGUUUCCCCUCGAGAAAGAAGUGCGUGUGAAUGGCUGCACAGCCCUCUAACGAGGCCUCGGUGAGGAGCGAAGGAUGCGAGGAGUGCCAAGUUUCCGUGGAGUGCAGGCAUGUCUUCACAGACACCCGCACAGGGCGCUGCAGGCUGAGGGAGGCGCCGUUGGAAGCCUGGCGCGAGGACCCGGCCGCCGUCUGAUGGAAGGCAGCAGCCCCGGGCACCGUGCUUUGCUCUCCUGCCGUCGGGACGCAAGCUCACCGGGUCCUGGUUAUGCUGUCAGAUGGUCCUAUCGCGACUGCAUCUGAGAAGCCGACCCCUGGGUUGCCCGCCUCUUCUCCCCUCUGACCACAGCCUGGGGCCCAGAGCGAAAAGGUGACGACGAGGCACCGAGAAUCUGAAAAUGUAGACUUGACUUGAGAAGAGGCCCCACUCGGGCUGCUGGGUGGCGUCAAGCAAACAAGGACUCUUUGUUGAGAACACCUCUGCUUUUAAGAAGACUUCUGUGGUCCUUGUUUAUUAUGUAGGAGGCUCGCCCGUUCCCAGGCCUCAAAGGACAGUCUGUAAGUUCUGGAAGCUUCUGGCGGCGUUGGGUUGUGGUGCCUGCGCGCUCGCUGUCCGCCCCCCUGCUGCCGUCUGCCCUUUGGGCCAUCGGAUGGUCAGGCCGGGGCAGCCUCGGGAGCGCUCCAGCAGGAGGCUAACAGCAAUCCAUUGUGGUCGACACGACCGUGCGGACGCCGUGCUACAAGCCGAGGACAGAAUUAGGGGCAGGCCCUUGCCAGGUGCUCAGCGUGCGCAGCAGGACGGGCUCCACAGGCACACCAACGAUUCCGCGAUGUGUUCAGCGUCCACCCACCCCCUCGUGCCAACGCAGGCCCCUGCGUGAGCCCCGUCGUGUCUCCUGAGGCCCGGUCUGCACGGACAGUCCGCGCAGAUCCUGGGUGAGGACUCCACGCAGAAAUCCGCCCGCAGCCGACUAUCACCCCAUGGGUCUACCCCCUCUCCAGCAUGCCAAGAACACUCGACGAUCUAGGGAAAAUACCACAGAACAGUGUUCUGAUCUCGGUGGAGAAAGAAACUUUAUCCUUAGACAAGAUUCUUAAAAAAUCUAUUUUUUUCCUUAAAAAACCUAUUAACAGCGAAGGGAAAAUGUAAAACAGUGACUACGUUCAUGUUAUGAAUUUUUCUUUCUCAAAGAUGCCUCGAAGACCGUGAAUGGGCAGCGUUGGGAGAAGCGGGCUAUGCACGAGGAGCAUGGGGAGCGCGGGGAGCACGCGGUCCCGGUGGGAGCACACGCAGGGCUCGCACAUCCACCGGUACAGAAUCAGGCCAAGCGUGGACAGGUGCUUCCUGGGGUGGCUCGCUGGGGACGACGGCACACGAUGUCCACGGCCAAUUAGGCUGUGAAAUCAGAGAGACCCAGAGGAGCACCGUCAGCCCGUCCUGCCCACUACGCCUGAGUCCCCCAGUGAGACACGGGGACGCUCCUUCGCCCAGGACACCACCACUCGCUCUGAGCCUGAACAUCCUUAACGUCUCAGAACCAAAGUGUGAGCGAAGAAAAGUCACAGAGAAACUUGAUGCACGUGUGUUGAUUCACAGAAAGUUGAACUCACGUGAGCUGGGGCAGUACGUGACAUGGUGCACGCACGCCUGUACAAUUACGGAAACCAAGGACACGGGAAGGGCAGGUUGAGGAUGUCACUCGUUUCUGGAUGCAGGCAGGGCUGGAGGCCACGGGUCCAGGGCGUGCAGGGAAGGGGUGAAGCCAGGGGGUCGGGGGGUGCAGGCAGGGAU